rnacentral:lncRNA from 1 species
AGGGAGAGGGAGAGGGACUCCUGCGGAAACAGGGACAGCAACAGGGACAGGGACCCCGGUAGGGACAGGUACAGGGAGAGGGACCUGCAUAGGGACCCCUGUGGGGCCAGGAAAAGGGACCCCCGUGGAGACAGGGACAGGGACCCCCGCGAGGACAGGGAGCUGCUCAGGGAUAGGGAGCCCUGGAUAGGGACCCCUGCGGGGACAGGGACAAGGACCCCCGCGGGCACGGGGACUCGCUCAGGGACAGGGAUGGGAAUGGGGGUGGAGAUGGGGAUAGGGACCCCCGUGGGCAUGGGGACCUGCUCAGCGAUAGGGACAGGGAUGGAGACUCCCGCAGGGAGGGGGACUCACUCAGGGACAGGGAGCUC